rnacentral:rRNA from 9 species
UUGACCUCGGAUCAGGUAGGGAUACCCGCUGAACUUAAGCAUAUCAAUAAGCGGAGGAAAAGAAACCAACCGGGAUUGCCUCAGUAACGGCGAGUGAAGCGGCAAGAGCUCAAAUUUGAAAGCUGGCCCCUUCGGGGUCCGCGUUGUAAUUUGCAGAGGAUGCUUCGGGUGCGGCCCCUGUCUAAGUGCCCUGGAACGGGCCGUCAGAGAGGGUGAGAAUCCCGUCUUGGGCAGGGUGCCCGUGCCCGUGUGAAGCUCCUUCGACGAGUCGAGUUGUUUGGGAAUGCAGCUCUAAAUGGGUGGUAAAUUUCAUCUAAAGCUAAAUACCGGCCGGAGACCGAUAGCGCACAAGUAGAGUGAUCGAAAGAUGAAAAGCACUUUGAAAAGAGAGUUAAACAGCACGUGAAAUUGUUGAAAGGGAAGCGCUUGCGACCAGACUCGGCCCCGGGGUUCAGCCAGCACUCGUGCUGGUGUACUUCCCCGGGGGCGGGCCAGCGUCGGUUUGGGCGGCCGGUCAAAGGCCCCAGGAAUGUAUCGCCCUCCGGGGUUGUCUUAUAGCCUGGGGUGCAAUGCGGCCAGCCCGGACCGAGGAACGCGCUUCGGCACGGACGCUGGCGUAAUGGUCGCAAACGACC